rnacentral:rRNA from 1 species
UACGUAGGGUGCAAGCGUUGUCCGGAAUUAUUGGGCGUAAAGAGCUCGUAGGCGGUUUGUCGCGUCUGGUGUGAAAAUCCAGGGCUUAACCCUGGACCUGCAUCGGGUACGGGCAGACUAGAGUGCGGUAGGGGAGAUCGGAAUUCCUGGUGUAGCGGUGAAAUGCGCAGAUAUCAGGAGGAACAUCGAUGGCGAAGGCAGCCCCUUGGACCUGUACUGACGCUCAUGCACGAAAGCGUGGGGAGCAAACAGG